UGCUAAACAUGCAGGUCCUGCGGAUGGAUGUAACACUCCAUGAGCGGCGGACGGGUGAAUAACACGUGGGUCACCUACCUUUUAGACGGAGAUAACGCCUGGAAACGGGUGCUAAUCCCGGAUGGGAUCUUUCUUCGCAUGAAGGAGGAAGGAAAGGCGCAAACAACCGCUGCUAAAAAAUGGGCCCGCGGCGCAUUACCUAGUUGGUGGGGUAAAGGCUCACCAAGGCGACAAUGCUUACCCAACCUGAGAGGGUGACCGGCCCCACUGGGACUGAGACACGGCCCAAACUCCUACGGGAGGCAGCAGUAGGGAAUCUUCCGCAAUGGGCAAAAGCCUGACGGAGCAACGCCUUGUGAGCGAAGACGGUCUUCGGAUUGUAAAGCUCUGUCUUUUGGGACAAGAGGCAUGAAAAGGGAAUGCUCGAUGUGAGACGGUACCAAAGGAGGAAGCCCCGGCUAACUACGUGCCACCAGCCGCGGUAAU
rnacentral:rRNA from 1 species